rnacentral:rRNA from 1 species
UCGUAGUUGGAUUUCUGUUAAUAAUUUAUAUAUAAUAUUUCACAAUAUUUAUAUAAUAUUAACAUAAUUCAUAUUACUAUAAUUUUUUUAGUAUAUGAAAUUUUACUUUGAGAAAAUUAGAGUGCUUAAAGCAGGCAUUUGCCUAGAAUUCUCCAGCAUGGAAUAAUAUAAAAGAUUUUUAUCUUUUUUAUAGGUUCUAAGAUAAAAAUAAUGAUUAAUAGGGACAGUUGGGGGCAUUUGUAUUUAACAGUCAGAGGUGAAAUUCUUAGAUUUGUUAAAGACAAACUAAUGCGAAAGCAUUUGCCAAGGAUGUUUUCAUUAAUCAAGAACGAAAGUUAGGGGAUCGAAGACGAUCAGAUACCGUCGUAGUCUUAACCAUAAACUAUGCCA